CUCAGAGGAGACACAAGUGAAGAGAGGACGACAGAACACAACGUUUGAAAUACUGUGAAACUUUAUUGUAAAUAUUCUUUGAGUGGUGGAGAACGUGUAGCAGUGGACUUAGUGAACACUUCUGCUUAAUCUCAGUGAUUGAGGCAAUCUUUUUAUUUUAGUGCGCUGACUGGAGAGGAUUUUUGGUGUCACCACAGGUCAAACUGCAGUCUCUGUAUUGGACCCUGCUAAUACAAUACAAUGCAUUAGUGAGGCCGAAUGCUGCAGGAUCCAUACCUUCCCAUUGAAAUGUGAAUACGUAAUGAAUGCUAAUGUGAUCUGGAUAAAUGGAGCUCAUUUCUGAGGAGGUCUCCUCCAUGUUAAUGGAACGCCGUGGGGAACCACGGCCUCAUGGACCAGACCACAGCUCUGAAGUGGCUCCAGAGGAACAGCCACUCGUUUGGAGGAGAUCCCAGGAAAGUAUUUGGACAGA